GACGAACGCUGGCGGCGUGCUUAACACAUGCAAGUCGAACGAAGUGGCGAACGGGUGAGUAACGCGUAAUCAACCUGCCCUUCAGAGGGGGACAACAGUUGGAAACGACUGCUAAUACCGCAUACUGAAGGACGGGAUUGCGGGUGAUUAGCUAGUUGGGGGGGUAACGGCCCACCAAGGCGAAGAUUAGUAGCCGGUCUGAGGGGAUGAACGGGCACAAUGGGAAUGAGACACGGCCCAGACUCCUACGGGAGGCAGCAGUGGGGAAUCGUCCGCAAUGGACGAAAGGCUGACGGAGCAACGCCGGGUGAGUGAUGACGGCCUUCGGGUUGUAAAGCUCUGUUAAUCGGGACGCGGUACCGGAAUAGAAAGCCACGGCUAACUUCGUGCCAGCAGCCGCGGUAAUUC
rnacentral:rRNA from 1 species